UACGUAGGGGGCAAGCGUUGUCCGGAUUUAUUGGGCGUAAAGAGCGUGUAGGCGGCCAGGUAGGUCCGUUGUGAAAACUCGAGGCUCAACCUCGAGACGCCGAUGGAAACCCUCCAGCUAGAGUCCGGAAGAGGAGAGUGGAAUUCCUGGUGUAGCGGUGAAAUGCGCAGAUAUCAGGAAGAACACCCGUGGCUAAGGCGGCUCUCUAGUACGGUACUGACGCUGAGACGCGAAAGCGUGGGGAGCGAACAGG
rnacentral:rRNA from 1 species